rnacentral:tRNA from 1 species
AGCCCUAUAGUGUAAUUGGUAACACACCGGAUUUUGAUUCCGUAUUUCCAGGUUCGAGUCCUGGUAGGGCUA